UACGGGGGGGGCAAGCGUUGUUCGGAAUUACUGGGCGUAAAGGGCUCGUAGGUGGCCAACUAAGUCAGACGUGAAAUCCCUCGGCUUAACCGGGGAACUGCGUCUGAUACUGGAUGGCUUGAGUUCGGGAGAGGGAUGCGGAAUUCCAGGUGUAGCGGUGAAAUGCGUAGAUAUCUGGAGGAACACCGGUGGCGAAGGCGACAUCCUGGACCGGCAUUGACGCUGAGGAGCGAAAGCCAGGGGAGCAAACGGG
rnacentral:rRNA from 1 species